rnacentral:rRNA from 1 species
GACGAACGCUGGCGGCGUGCUUAACACAUGCAAGUCGAACGGAAAGGCCCUGCUUUUGUGGGGUGCUCGAGUGGCGAACGGGUGAGUAACACGUGAGUAACCUGCCUUUGACUUUGGGAUAACUUCAGGAAACUGGGGCUAAUACCGGAUAGGAGCUCCUGCUGCAUGGUGGGGGUUGGAAAGUUUCGGCGGUUGGGGAUGGACUCGCGGCUUAUCAGCUUGUUGGUGGGGUAGUGGCUUACCAAGGCUUUGACGGGUAGCCGGCCUGAGAGGGUGACCGGCCACAUUGGGACUGAGAUACGGCCCAGACUCCUACGGGAGGCAGCAGUGGGGAAUAUUGCACAAUGGGCGGAAGCCUGAUGCAGCAACGCCGCGUGCGGGAUGACGGCCUUCGGGUUGUAAACCGCUUUCGCCUGUGACGAAGCGUGAGUGACGGUAAUGGGUAAAGAAGCACCGGCUAACUACGUGC